rnacentral:rRNA from 1 species
UAUGAACGCUGGCGGCGUGCUUAACACAUGCAAGUCGAACGAAGCACUUUUAAUUCUUCGGAAGAGAAAGUGACUGAGUGGCGGACGGGUGAGUAACGCGUUGGUAACCUGCCUUAUACAGGGGGAUAACAGUUAGAAAUGACUGCUAAUACCGCAUAAGCCGAUAGAGUCGCAUGACUUAGUCGGAAAAGAUUUAUCGGUAUAAGAUGGGCCCGCGACUGAUUAGCUAGUUGGUGAGGUAAUGGCCCACCAAGGCGACGAUCAGUAGCCGGCUUGAGAGAGUGAACGGCCACAUUGGGACUGAGACACGGCCCAAACUCCUACGGGAGGCAGCAGUGGGGAAUAUUGCACAAUGGGGGAAACCCUGAUGCAGCAACGCCGCGUGAAGGAAGAAGUAUUUCGGUAUGUAAACUUCUAUCAGCAGGGAAGAAAAUGACGGUACCUGACUAAGAAGCCCCGGCUAACUACGUGCCAGCCGCCGCAGUAA